CAGUCGCCGCGGUAAUACGUAGGGUGCGAGCGUUAAUCGGAAUUACUGGGCGUAAAGCGUGCGCAGGCGGUUUGUUAAGACAGAUGUGAAAUCCCCGGGCUUAACCUGGGAACUGCAUUUGUGACUGUACGGCUAGAGUGUGUCAGAGGGGGGUAGAAUUCCACGUGUAGCAGUGAAAUGCGUAGAUAUGUGGAGGAAUACCGAUGGCGAAGGCAGCCCCCUGGGAUAACACUGACGCUCAUGCACGAAAGCGUGGGGAGCAAACAGGAUUAGAUACCCCGGUAGUCCCUGUCUCUUAUAC
rnacentral:rRNA from 1 species